UUGCUGGAACGCGCUUCGGCGCACCCAGAAACCCUUUGUGAACUUAUACCUUACUGUUGCCUCGGCGCAGGCCGGCCCCCCCACCGGGGCCCCUCGGAGACGAGGAGCAGCCCGCCGGCGGCCAACCAAACUCUUGUUUCUUAGUGAAUCUCUGAGUAAAAAAACAUAAAUGAAUCAAAACUUUCAACAACGGAUCUCUUGGUUCUGGCAUCGAUGAAGAACGCAGCGAAAUGCGAUAAGUAAUGUGAAUUGCAGAAUUCAGUGAAUCAUCGAAUCUUUGAACGCACAUUGCGCCCUCUGGUAUUCCGGAGGGCAUGCCUGUUCGAGCGUCAUUUCAACCCUCAAGCCUGGCUUGGUGUUGGGGCACUGCUCCGAGAGGAGCAGGCCCUGAAAUCUAGUGGCGAGCUCGCCAGGACCCCGAGCGUAGUAGUUAUAUCUCGUUCUGGAAGGCCCUGGCGGUGCCCUGCCGUUAAACCCCCAACUUCUGAAAUUU
rnacentral:rRNA from 1 species